UACGUAGGGACCAAGCGUUGUUCGGAUUCAUUGGGCGUAAAGGGUGCGUAGGCGGCGGGGCAAGUCUGAUGUGAAAUCCCGGGGCUCAACCCCGGAACUGCAUUGGAUACUGCCUUGCUUGAGUACUGGAGAGGAGACUGGAAUUUACGGUGUAGCAGUGAAAUGCGUAGAUAUCGUAAGGAACACCGGUGGCGAAGGCGGCUCACUGGCUCGGUACUGACGCUGAGGCACGAAAGCGUGGGGAGCAAACAGG
rnacentral:rRNA from 1 species